UACGUAGGGUGCGAGCGUUAAUCGGAAUUACUGGGCGUAAAGCGUGCGCAGGCGGUGAUGUAAGACAGUUGUGAAAUCCCCGGGCUCAACCUGGGAAUUGCAUCUGUGACUGCAUCGCUAGAGUACGGUAGAGGGGGAUGGAAUUCCGCGUGUAGCAGUGAAAUGCGUAGAUAUGCGGAGGAACACCGAUGGCGAAGGCAAUCCCCUGGACCUCGUACUGACGCUCAUGCACGAAAGCG
rnacentral:rRNA from 1 species